AGGACGAACGCUGGCGGCGUGCUUAACACAUGCAAGUCGAGCGAGGCCCUUCCUUCGGGAAGGUGCCCUAGCGGCGAACGGGUGAGUAACACGUGGGCAACCUGCCCCUAGCACUGGGAUAAGCCCGGGAAAACCGGGUCUAAUACCGGAUAUGACCUUCGAGGGCAUCCUUGAAGGUGUAAAGGAUUCUGGCUAGGGAUGGGCCCGCGGCCUAUCAGCUUGUUGGUGGGUAAUGGCCUACCAAGGCGACGACGGGUA
rnacentral:rRNA from 1 species